GCAGUCUGGCCUCUCUCCUGAUCGCGGCCUGGACCGUGAAGACACUGCAGCACAGCGUAGUCCGCGCUCAGGGGGCUCUUGUCUGGAAGUGGACUCAGAUUCACAAGGAGAAGAACUACAGAACUUUGGAAGAGAAGGCACACACUGAGUAUGCCUAGUGGAGAUUCCACAUGCUAAAAGGAGGCUGGAUGCCGGCUGAGCGCGCCCAUUCGUGGUCGUGGAGCCAGUACAUGCACCUGCUCUUCUCUACCAAUGAAAAGAGAUUACGUACGGGACUUCUGAUCAUCACAAACAAGGUAUGGACACCCUAGCAGGGAACAUGCCAAGAAUGAACUGUCCAUGAACCAAAGGUCUCUCUACUGCCCUCCCCUCCUCUUCUCUCUCUCUCUCUCUUCCUCCCAUUCCUACCCCAAAGAUGGAACCCCCAGUUAAAAAGGUACUUUCCUAAGCAGCAAUAGGAAAAAAAAAGAAGUAUGAAAACACACAUACACACACACACACACAAGACGGGGACACUGUGCUGUACACCAGAAAUUGACACAAUGUAACUGACUACUUCAAUUUAAAAAAAAGAAAAGCAUCAUUGGAAACAUUUGUGUAGAAUGGGAUGCUUUCUUUAACAUUUAGGAUUUAAUCUGGGAGAUGAAGUCCAGGGUCAUCAUCAACUAGGAAAUUCCAGAGUGUGGACAAACACAAAAGCCUGUGGCCCUGAGGAUGAAUUUAGGGACGUUCUCUGGCCCACAGAUUCAUCCAGAACACUAAACUGUUUCUGCCUCGGUGGACUAUAUAUCCCAGACCCCAAAGGUCACUCUGAGAGCCUGACCUCACUGGCUGCUACGCCAGCUCCCAGUCCUAUUUUAUGUAAGAGAUUAUAAAACUCUUUCCUUGUAGGAUUGUGUGGCAACAUUAAAUUUGGUUGGUAUUUCUACAUCCAUUUUCUCAUCUGUAAAAUGAAGUAAAUAGACGAGAUAAUUACUGAAAUUGAUCCCUUCUCCAAUAAUUUACAUUCUUUCUUUGCAAAAUUUUUUGCAAAGUGAUAAUUAUUGUUAUGAGCUUUGAAACCCCAAUGGCAUAAAUUAAGUUAAAUUAAAAGGUCUUGGAUAUUUCUCUGCCUUCAGAGUUAAUCAUGGACCCUCAUAUUCUCCUCCUCCUCUUCUUUCAGCUCAGUUUUGCUUUGGCAUUUCCUUUACUGUGAUAGUUAGGGUGAUAGAUUACUACCUUUCUACAGAGGGAAAUUAAUGGGCUGAGUGUGAAGAUAGAGAGUAACAACUUAAGUAAGAGAAAAAAAGAGAAAGGAGGAAGUGAGAUCACAGAAUACCAAGUGCACAUAAUUCUUAAAGAUGGGAACUUGCAAUAAUGAGGUGUCAGCAAGGUCAAGUAGGUAAGCACUAAACUUAGAGGUGUCUGGUUACAUGGCAUUUGAAUUUGAAAAAGGAUUGCACACUCCUCCAGCCCCAGCCUCAGAAAGCUGCCACAUGAUCUCCUGCUGCUUUCACAACUCCCUUUAGCCCUUCUGCUUCUGCAGAGUCAUGAGUAAUAACCCCAACACCGCUGCAAAGACAUCCCUCACCCUCACUGUGGGCAAGUGCCGUCAUUCAAAAGAGACCCAAAUUCCAUGGGGAAGAAGACAUGAUGAUGGCAUUGCAAUCGAUCUCACUGCUCAAGAAGUUAAAUCCUCAUGACCUACAUUCAUGUACAGAUUAGCUCAGAUGGAAAAAUGAAGACCAGUGACAGUGAAUCAUGCUGUAAACACAAGAGCUCAUAAAUAAAUAAAACCCCCGU